GACCGUCUGAUUGUGAUCGGCUCAUGCAUAUCAGCCUCUUUGAGUCUUGAUCAAAUCCAAAAAUCACCAAGACCAUUCGAUCGCGAUCGACUAUGUCGUCAGCUAUCUAACCGCACAUUCGCAUCUCAGUCGUUAGAUGUGAUCGGUCCACAUGCGGUCGGUGAGCCGUGAUAGAGCCUGUGGUCCACGAUGGACCACGACACCUAGGCGGGCCUGGGCACCCGCGCAUGCGGGCCAUGUGCUCCGGGCCUGGCCCGCACUACCGCCAGCUUGUGC
rnacentral:lncRNA from 1 species